CACAAGCAGCGGAGCGUGUGGUUAAUUCGAUGCGACGCGAAGAACCUUACCCAGGAUUGACAUCCACGUAGUAGUGAAGCGAAAGCGGAACGACCCUCGGGGAGCGUGGACAGGUGCUGCAUGGCUGUCGUCAGCUCGUGUCGUGAGAUGUUGGGUUAAGUCCCGCAACGAGCGCAACCCUUGUCGCUAGUUACACGUGUCUAGCGAGACUGCCGAUAUCAAGUUGGAGGAAGGUGGGGAUGACGUCAAGUCCGCAUGGCCUUUAUGUCCGGGGCUACACACACGCUACAAUGGUCGGUACAAUGGGUUGCUAAGCCGCGAGGUGGAGCCAAUCCCCCAAAGCCGGCCUCAGUUCAGAUUGCAGGCUGCAACUCGCCUGCAUGAAGCUGGAGUUGCUAGUAAACGCGCGUCAGCUAUAGUGCGUUGAAUACGUUCUCGGGCCUU
rnacentral:rRNA from 1 species